rnacentral:lncRNA from 1 species
CAGAGUGGAGGCGUGAUGUUCUCUCCACUGGGCCGGCUGCGGGUCGCGCAAGCUGUGCGGAAACAGAUGAGUCAAAUCCCAGUGCUGGGCACUGAAGCAGCUCCCCUGCAGGCGCCUUUGUGCUACCAGCUGUUGUGCGCGCCCCCUAUAGCGCCGAUGCCUGCGUGCGCGCCAUGCGAACUGCCACCGCCCUAUGCUGUUUAUCCACUGCCGUUUGACACGACUCCAGCGAUCUACGGACCGCCAGCCCAAUACGCAUUGGUGCCGGCCCCGUUCAGCGCGCCGUGCUGCGAACCUGCGUGUUGCGCCCCCCUGGACAAGCAGCCGCGGGUCCCCCCACCCCCACUACACCCCGCCUUUAUCUACUAAACCAUACUCCCACUUGGACACAUUAGAUUUUUUUUAAGUCAAACCGAAAAUGCUUGAAGUUAAGUCAGUACUUGACUAUUGUAUGUGCAUUUGGUUUGCGGUACAUUAUAACCUGAUUAAGUCAGUCCAUGACUUAUUGAAUGCUCUAUAACUGACAUCAUUUUGGUUGCACACCAUAUUAAUAACUUAAAUUGUAACCAAAUAAAAAAACAUUUUAAUGUGUUCAAAAUUUCACUUCUAUUGGAUAUGUAUUUAUUUAUAAUUGUUAGAACAUUUCAAUGUAAUUACUGAAGUCAUCGAUGAUGCAAAUGUUGAAAUUGUUUUUGAUAUUUUACGAAUUGUUACUAUACGGGUACCCCAGUAUCAUAAUAGUUCCAAAAAUAGUUGUCUUAGAUGUCACUAUCAUAACAUAACUCCUACAAUACUACAAAAGUUCACGUAAUAUUUGUAUUAAUCAACUUCCUGAUAGUCGACAGUAAUGUUAACUGAUUGUCAGUUGAGGUCUCUAAUCUACCAGCCAUGAAGCUAUGCAGUAAUUUUAUUACUCUUCUAUAAUUAGGUUAAAGUGUUAUAUCUCAAGAUAAGUAGUUAUAUUCCAAAAUUCCAUUGGAAUACUAUAGUACGUGCCAUUUUAUAUUAAAUGUGUAUUGAUGGGGUACCCCAUGUUUUGCUGUUACAUAGUACAGUUAAGUUAUAAAAGUACGAAUGAGAAAACCUAAAACCUAUCCAUUUGGAUCUUUUUACAUUUUUGGCUAUAAAAGACAUUUAUUUACUUUCACUAUUUAUGUAAGUUAGCGUGGGUUUUAAAAAGUCACAAAACUUCCACCACUAGUUUCUAUGUCUUUAUAAAACCUCUUCUUAGUAUGCCAUUAUUCCUUAAAUUUUAGUGUAAUCAUUUUCUCAAAACAAAUUUGGAGUUUUAUGUUUAUAAACUCGCUGCGUGUUAAAUUAUGUGAAGUUAAAUGUAAGUCACUAGAAAACACCCCAUCAGUGAAGACGUCAUUAAAUAAAACUAGAAAAUUACCGUUCAAACUCAGUUAUUGAUUUCCUAAAUUUGGGGUAACAGAUACAGAAAAAAUAACCCCUAUUCCGUUGUGAAAAAAUAUAUAAAGAAAAUGUUAAAUAUAUGUUAUUGUAUUUUUCAUAUAUCUUGUUGACUAAUAAAAAUUAUGUUAUUUAUUAUAUAUCACGCGUUCCUCUUCUAGUGAUUUACAAUGACUCAAGCUUGUUAAGAAUUCCACAUUUAUUGCUCAAGUCUUCCAGUCAUCACGCUCAAUCCGUACCCAUCUCCGAUGCGAAGUGUUCAGUGUGAGUUUAAGUAGAUGUAAGCUUCGGAUCACCGUGGAUUCGCGUGCUAUUGAUGUGGGUUUAUCGAAUUGUUUUGUAAUUUAUUUCUUUAAAUUGGCUAAUUAUAAUUGCUGAUGACGAAGAUUGGUGGUAAAAUAUCUUUUCUCAUUGGCAUUUUAAUAUUAACUCAUUCAUUUUAUGUAAUUUUAAUAUUACUGUCGAAAUUUUUAUCGUGUAAAUCGUCACAGCUAUUCCUCGAACAAAAAUCUAAAUAAAAUAACUAGUGGAAUGUUUUUACAACACAAUUUGAUACAAUCCUUAAUGAAGUGCUUUCAGGCACAACGAAAGUAGCAAAAUAGUUGCUAGAUAAAAUGUUACCUCUCGGAAAAGACACAUUUGUUACUGCUUGUUAUCCUUUAAAAGGAUUACGUUUGUUUAGUGUAAGAGUGUUUUUUUAUUCCCUAAAAUAGAACAGAGGAUAUGAUAUUUUUUGUAUAAUGUUUUAGUUUAUAAAUUGUUGCUGUUGUUGAUUGAAUCUGGGUCCAAGAUGUGAUACAGACAAAUGUUACAAGAUGCUUCUCUAUUCAGUUGUCAGGGAUCAGGCCUCACAUUCGGGGUCUUUGUUGUGUUAUCCGCUAUGAUCAAAGCAAUAAUUCGAGUGGACUUGUAGUUUCGUGAUUGCAAAUGUUAACAAAUUCGUUUCUGUAAAUAUAGGACCAAAUGUUGGCCAAUAAUAGCAAUAGUUGGCGGUUAGUUGGACAAAUCUCUAUACGUAACGGUGUUGUAAUGAAUGUUAAUCUUUUUAUAUCGUAUUCUAUAACUUCUGUGGACUCUACGUGUUUUAUUGGGCGCGUGAAUUUUUUCAAUUCAUUUCAUAUUUCUUAUAGUUAUUAAUAUUUUCACAUGUACCCCAUCAUACUGAUGGCUUACCCCAAAGAGAUUUUAAAUUAGUAAAAGGUGUCCUAUAGCCGUUAUACAGUUAAAUACUUACUUUAUUAUAGUAACUCGCUUGCACAAGUACUAACAAAAGUAUAUAUAUUUUUUAAAGAGAUUCAAAUUAUUGACUCAUGGGUUCUUCCGAAAAAUAGAAUUAUUUAUUACAAAAUUUAAUUUCCAGAAACCACAGUGAUUUGUAGGAGAAUAGCCAAACCAUAUUUCAGAUUAUACAACGUCUGAAUCCAUGGUAGGUUUCCCUAUUCAGGUCACAGGUUGGAAAUAGGUGCCCAAAAAUGUAUUCAUUGGUUCAUUCAUUGCCUUCGCCUUCAAUAACACCUGACUAUUGAAAAUUUCACGCGCCCGACCAAAUUGUGGUCUUUCUGCCUAUAGACAUAAGGCUUUGUCUCAAUUAUUAUAUAUAAAUUCAUAUACGACUAGUGUUAUCGGAAAAGCUGUCAAUUUGUCGUCUUGAAUUUUUUACAUCUACUUAUAUAGCUAGUGUAAAGCCUAUGCUUUGUACUGUCUAUUCCUUUCCCCAUAGAUCAUUUUGAGAGAUUUUCUAAAGGUUUUUGUAAUAUUUUGCCAAACUAAGUGGAGCUCUAGCUUUCCAAAUAAUCAAGCUGUAUUUAAGAAUCUAUCGUGUAUCACUGCUUAAUUGUCGUUCGGGUAAAUAUGGGUCCAAUGUGACCCUAUAAUUAACAUUUAAUUUAUCAUCAUAAAAAAAAAUAUAGUAUAGUUAUCUAUAUCUCCAUCUUUAAAUUUCACUGAAUAUUAUAAAACAAAUGUCUUAAAAAAAUUUAAAGAUAUUUUUAACGGAUUUUUCAAAAUUUGUUUUUCUAUUUCCGCCAUAUUUACACGAACGACCGGCCCUCCAAUAUUACGUGGCCUAGUGACUUACUGCCUAACAUAUCGGAUAACUAAUCACUAUGCUAUAGUUUAUUUUUUUUAAUAACAUUGCAUGGGAACGACAUAAUUAACAAGAUGUAGGAAAAGAAAAAAAGUUGAAUAAUCAUAUCAAAUAUUUUGGAGUUUAAAUGAGGUUGAGAUACAUGUAGGUCUAAAUAGACCCAGACGAAAAAAUAUGUUAAAAUAUUCAACCAAUCACAUUUAAAUUAAAUUUUAAAAAAUCUUCAUUAUAAAUACAUAACUUCCAAUAUCCAAACAUAUGUAAUUAUGGAUUAUUUUGUCACCUAUCCGUGAUCUCCCGAUGUUUCAUCACAACUGCUUUGGUUUCAGAAAUAUCCGUAAACUACAUAUCACUGAAAAAUAGUACAUAACAGAAUGGAAGAUUAAUUUUGUCGUUCCCAUGUGACACUUUGUAAAUAAUCUUUCGCUAGAAUAUAUUAUGUUAGUACGUGGAAAUUUGUAGACAAUAUUAAAUAUAAUUAGUUUAGGUAAUAAUAACAAUGGCUUGGCGUCUAUAUUUCUAUGUGUCAUGUCUGCUAUGAUAGAGCUAAUUGUUAUUGUAUUGUUAGAAUUUCAAUCACUACAUCUAUUUUGUUCGUAUUUCUUGCAUGACUCCUCCCGAUCGGUAGCACUGAUCUUGCUUGACAUAUUCGGGUUUGGAAACAAAGGCUUUAGUAAAAAUUUACUCAUUUGUAAAAUCUUUAUUGUGUUUCUUGAGAAAGGAUAUAUUAUUUAUGUACAUCAGAUAUUAAUUACGUAUUACAAAAAAAUAUUAUUAAGACAAAUUUUAAAAGUAUCGUGGGUCUAAAUUGACCCGAUAUUUCCAAACUCGAAUGUGUUAACUAAAAUUUUUUUUUUUAAUUCUGCUUCCACCACAUUAAGCUUAAAGGGAGGAAUAUGCCGUAAACGAUAGCAUGCAGAGAUUCCGUCUUCAUAUACACAUCAAUGUACAGGGACGUUGACAAUACAGCUGUUUUUAAGAUAUAGUAUUGUCCUUGAAGGAUUAAUGGAUCGAGGUACGUCCAAAUAUUUCCGUUGCUAGUUUUAAGGGUCUCUGGUGGGAUGGUGAGUUGGUAUUUGGGACGAGAAUAGUUCGAACUGGAUUCUUUGAUUCAAAAUUAUUAAAUUAAAAAAAACUUAUUGAUUCAAUUUCACGUCUCAUUACUAUGUAAGUACGGUUGAAAUUUCGAAAACACAAAUAUUAUUUCCUUGACUCUAUAGUAUGAUUUUUACACGACUAUAAGUAUACGAAUACAUUACUACAUUUUUUUUAUUCAGUUCGAGCGAACGGAGGUAUUACCGGCCCACCGCCUCGCCAAGUCGUACCAUUUUUAUAGCAAUACCAAACAUUAUCAAUAUCAACAAUUUCACCUAUAACUUAUAUUAUAAAGCUAUACUUAUUUUUAAUCCUAUGAGGCUCUUAUAUUUCAGCAAGAGUCUGAAAUUUUAAACGUCAAGUAUUAAUCAAAUUAAACUUAUUUCUUAAUGGUGUGUUGUGUAAAUUUUCUUAUAUUUGUGUACAAGCUUGAUAUUUGAUAAAUCUAAAACCAUUAAAUGUCCAAUAUUGAUGUUCUUUUAGUAUUCUUUAUAAAUUUUUCGAAUUGUAUUGAUAUGUUUGGGUUUUGUUGUGGGGAAAAGAGUGGAGUAUUUUUCGUCAAUAUUAAAUAAAUUUAAUAACACACGGAGUCGAGUAAUUGUUUUUUUUUUGUUGUGUGAAACAUAGAUUAAAAAUAUUGAAAAUUAAAUAAAGGUCACGACAGUAACGUAGUUAAAUUGAAGUAUUUUAUUUAAAAUCUUAUUUAAACUUUGUCAAAGUAAAAUGGUAUUUACCAAAAAUAAAUUUAAAAAUCACAAAAAAAUACUUUUAUACAUAAGGGAUUAAUUUUAGAUAACCUAUUCCGGCGAUCAAAUAAAUCUUAUAAUUCCAUGUAACGAGUAAAAUUGGUAUAAGAAUAUAAAAAUAAACUUUCAAAUCCACUCAACCUCCGCAAUAAAACCCAAACAGGAUUUUGAUAAAAAACUUUACAGACGUAGGCCGAUAUUGCGUUAAGUAUAGUUUUGCUAUCCCUUUUAGAAACGAUCGCUGUAACUAAUUCGUUGAUACAAGUUUAUAGCAUUAUUUAUCAUGUUGACUACUUGUAAGGGAUCUGUUAGAGCUGCGCACAGUCAAGCUUACGGACAACAGUAUUACUAGAUAAUUUAAGGUUCCGUUGUUUAUGCUGGGCAUAAUUGGACUCGCCUUUCGUUAGGGGUCUAUAAAGACCCAGUACGUUAAUGGGUCAUUUCAGACCCACCAGUAAAAUAAACGUUUCAAACGCUUGCUCUUACUUCUAAAUUAUACUUCACAAAAACUAAAGUUUUAACUUCAAUGUUAAAUAAAUUGUUUAGUCCAACUAUGCCCAACAAAAUGGCGGACUUCGUCGAAAUGGCGGCAAGCUGUCAAAGCACAAACGUCACUUUAGCGAAGCAACGUCGAAAAGACGCCUAUUUAGAGACGCUCUCGAAAAUUAUACGGCAAAUUAUAAUCGUCGGUGGUUUUUUAAGAUAAAUCACGAAUCAAGCUAUCUCUGUCGUGUAGAUGUGUGUCUAAUGUUGUGCGGAACGUUUUGGGGUCUCACGCCGUGAAUAUAGAUGGCGUUGUCAUAAAUAAUUUGAGAUAACCUAUUUUCUAGUUAUGACCGAAAGAAAUCACUAAGAACUUUGUUAUAUUAUUUUAUACCAUUGUUAAUUACCUUAUUUUAAUAAUAACUCCGAGAAGAUUGUCUUCAAACGAAAAUAAUUCAUAUUUAUAUUCAUACAAAGUUGAAUCCGAGAAACAGUCACAGUUUUCCCGAGUUAGAAGCCUAUAAGCUUCCCAGGAUCUUAAACUAUCUCCAUACCAAAAUUUAUAAAAAACACACACAGACAGACAGAAAAGUGGACUUUGUUUUACAAUAUGUAUAGAUUUAAAGCAUGUACAAAAUAUAAAGUGUAUCAUCAAUUCGACCUCCAAAACGUUUCCCACAACACCCAAUAUAAUAUCUCUAUUCUAUGACUCUAUGUGUUUUAGUGGAUGUGAUUCUAUAUAUUAUAAUAAAUAAAUUAAAAAUUAAUUCUAAAAAAAAUAUACGCUACAGUGAUCACUAUCAUUACGCACAUAAGUAAUAGUGAAUAUAAACGAUUAAUAAUAAUAAAUACGAAUUAAUAAUAGAUAAAUACACACCAUUGUAUCAUCGAAAGUAAUUGUUGUUUGUUAUAGUGUAUAGUUAAUGUAUGUGAUAUUGUUAUAGGUUUAAUGGAUAUUUGAAGCUAAAAUAUAAUUCUACUACUCUUC